rnacentral:rRNA from 1 species
AACGCUAGCUACAGGCUUAACACAUGCAAGUCGCGGGGCAGCAUGAAUUUAGCUUGCUAAAUUUGAUGGCGACCGGCGCACGGGUGAGUAACGCGUAUCCAACCUUCCCUUAUCCACGGGAUAGCCCGUCGAAAGGCGGAUUAAUACCGUAUGAGGUCAUUUGAUGGCAUCUGAUUAUGACGAAAGGUUUGGCGGAUAAGGAUGGGGAUGCGUCCGAUUAGCUUGUUGGCGGGGUAACGGCCCACCAAGGCGACGAUCGGUAGGGGUUCUGAGAGGAAGGUCCCCCACAUUGGAACUGAGACACGGUCCAAACUCCUACGGGAGGCAGCAGUGAGGAAUAUUGGUCAAUGGGCGAGAGCCUGAACCAGCCAAGUAGCGUGCAGGAUGACGGCCCUAUGGGUUGUAAACUGCUUUUAUGCGGGGAUAAAGUGAGGGAUGCAUCCCUUUUUGCAGGUACCGCAUGAAUAAGGACCGGCUAAUUCCGUGCCAGCAGCCGCGGUAAUACGGAAGGUCCGGGCGUUAUCCGGAUUUAUUGGGUUUAAAGGGAGCGUAAGCUGGAGAUUAAGCGUGUUGUGAAAUGCCGCGGCUCAACCGUGGCACUGCAGCGCGAACUGGUUUCCUUGAGUGCGCUGAAAGUGGGCGGAAUUUGUGGUGUAGCGGUGAAAUGCUUAGAUAUCACGAAGAACUCCGAUUG